AACGAACGCUGGCGGCAGGCCUAACACAUGCAAGUCGAGCGGACCUUUCGGGGUCAGCGGCGGACGGGUGAGUAACGCGUGGGAAUAUGCCCUUCUCUACGGAAUAGUCCUGGGAAACUGGGGGUAAUACCGUAUACGCCCUUUGGGGGAAAGAUUUAUCGGGGAAGGAUUAGCCCGCGUUGGAUUAGGUAGUUGGUGGGGUAAUGGCCUACCAAGCCGACGAUCCAUAGCUGGUUUGAGAGGAUGAUCAGCCACACUGGGACUGAGACACGGCCCAGACUCCUACGGGAGGCAGCAGUGGGGAAUCUUAGACAAGGGGGGCAACCCUGAUCUAGCCAUGCCGCGUGAGUGAUGAAGGCCUUAGGGUUGUAAAGCUCUUUCAGCUGGGAAGAUAAUGACGGUACCGGCAGAAGAAGCCCAGGCUAACUCCGUG
rnacentral:rRNA from 1 species